AUUUAAAUGGUUCAUCUCAAAAUGAUUUAUUUAAAUAUUUGUAACCGAAGACACGUAUUGCUGUGUGUAGUCUUUGCCUGUCACCUAAGACGGGCUUUUUUUUUA
rnacentral:other from 1 species